CUUGCUCUUGGGUGACGAGUGGCGGACGGGUGAGUAAUGUCUGGGGAUCUGCCCGAUAGAGGGGGAUAACCACUGGAAACGGUGGCUAAUACCGCAUAACGUCGCAAGACCAAAGAGGGGGACCUUCGGGCCUCUCACUAUCGGAUGAACCCAGAUGGGAUUAGCUAGUAGGCGGGGUAAUGGCCCACCUAGGCGACGAUCCCUAGCUGGUCUGAGAGGAUGACCAGCCACACUGGAACUGAGACACGGUCCAGACUCCUACGGGAGGCAGCAGUGGGGAAUAUUGCACAAUGGGCGCAAGCCUGAUGCAGCCAUGCCGCGUGUAUGAAGAAGGCCUUCGGGUUGUAAAGUACUUUCAGCGGGGAGGAAGGCGGUGAGGUUAAUAACCUCGCCGAUUGACGUUACCCGCAGAAGAAGCACCGGCUAACUCCGUGCCAGCAGCCGCGGUAAUACGGAGGGUGCAAGCGUUAAUCGGAAUUACUGGGCGUAAAGCGCACGCAGGCGGUCUGUUAAGUCAGAUGUGAAAUCCCCGGGCUUAACCUGGGAACUGCAUUUGAAACUGGCAGGCUUGAGUCUGUUAGAGGGGGGGAGAAUUUCCGG
rnacentral:rRNA from 1 species